GGAGGCAGUGGGUAGAGCUCAGUGGUAGAGCACGUGCUUGGUGUGCACGAGGCCUUGGGUUCAAUCCCCAGCGCCUCCA